AUUGAACGCUGGCGGCAUGCCUUACACAUGCAAGUCGAACGGCAGCACGGGAGCAAUCCUGGUGGCGAGUGGCGAACGGGUGAGUAAUAUAUCGGAACGUGCCCAGUCGUGGGGAUAACGUAGCGAAAGCUACGCUAAUACCGCAUACGAUCUAUGGAUGAAAGCGGGGGAUCGCAAGACCUCGCGCGAUUGGAGCGGCCGAUAUCAGAUAGGUAGUUGGUGAGGUAAAGGCUCACCAAGCCGACGAUCUGUAGCUGGUCUGAGAGGACGACCAGCCACACUGGGACUGAGACACGGCCCAGACUCCUACGGGAGGCAGCAGUGGGGAAUUUU
rnacentral:rRNA from 1 species